UUUAAUGAGUCAACACCCUGGCUGGGAUGGGCUUUCAGUCAUCCAGGUGCUUUUGGCUAGUCCAUGUUUCUGCACACAGCUCCUUUUCCCAUUUCCUGUCUUAGCAAAACAUGGAGAUUUUAACUUUCUUGAAUGAAUUAUUUCAAAAUACUUCUUCUCCAGUAUUAGGAGAAAAUGGUACAGUUGUAGAACAGGUGCAGUUGGAAAGGUGGCCAUGAUGUUAAGGUACAGGUGAUGUGAUGCCCUCAUCUGACAUCUCUGUGGGCACUGCAUACAUAUGCCUCACAUCUAUCUAUACAGUCAAAACAAGUUGACAGGUAAAAUAAAGGUGAAAGGAGAGGUGAAGGCUUCUGGUACCCUAGUUCCCUCCCAAACCCAAGAACGAAGGUACAAAGUACAGUUAUACCUCAAGGUCUUCUCACAGCUGCACGGGAGAGGAAGAGCUACACUGUCCUAACAGGCUGGAUUGUCCACUCUGCCAUGCAUAGGUACAGGACACAUGGCUUGAUGUAAGGAAGAGGAAGCAGGUACAGCUGCUAUCUCACAGGAAAAAACACUGGGAUGGAUGACACCCCACCCCAGGAACUGUAUAAUGUUCAGAUACAAGUGUACCACAAAGAUUUAAUGAAUUACCUGGUCUUGCUUCUAUAACUGUACUUGCUGGCCAUAUUUUCACCCCACGGUUUUGUCCUACUAAGAGAUCCUGAGAAAGAAUCAGAGAAGUCCUUAUGAAACCUGUCAUAGAGAAAUACAGCCAUCCAUUCAGCUCUGUCAUGUACAUGAAGAAAGCUUGCUUCAAUUUGACCAUGAUUUGGAAAAGUGGUCUUUCUCCUUGCAUCUGCAGGACUCAGAGUGUCCUCAUGUGGUAAGAGCCACAUGUUGCUUUAAGGUCAGGAGGUUAAGUCAAAUGGAAGGAGAAACAUGGGGAGAAGACAGAAGAAAGGUAAAUUUGCUUUAUAUCAAACUGAUAUGAAGCCGCACUGACUCAAGAAUGCAAGUCCUUUGUUGGUCCUGUGGUUUUUUUGUGUGUGUGUUUGUGUGUGUGUGUGUGUGUGUGUGUGUGUGUGUGUGUGUGUGUGUGUGUGUGGUCUAUUUCCUCUACACUGACACACUCUAUCAAGGAAGAAAGAAUCUAAAGAAUUUUCAAAACCUAGGAAUCAAAUGAUACUGAAAAUCCUCAG
rnacentral:lncRNA from 1 species